rnacentral:lncRNA from 1 species
GAAGAACUGGCCAUUCAUUUGAGAGGUUUAGUGCAACCAGACUCACCUCCAAAUCUCCUUCCUUUAAAUGGCCUGUUUCACAGUAUUUAUUUAAAAACUCUUAGAUAAUGCCUGUAAUAUCUCUUCAUUCAGUCCUCAUAACAAUUCUACAAGAGAGCCUGAGGUCAACCUGGAAACAUGGAAAAAAUAUGAUUUUGAAACUGUUCAAGACAACCAGGCAGCCUUCCUGGCGUUGUGCACGAACCUGCGACCCAGCUUCUUGGCAUACCAGAUAGAGGCAAACAUAGCGAUGCCAGUGGAAGGGAUGCACAAUGAAGCUGCUGCACAAUCAACUUCCCACCUCGGCUCAGAGACGAAUGGAUCCGGCUGGAGCUGUCACUUGCA